UGGGGAAUAUUGGACAAUGGGCGAAAGCCUGAUCCAGCCAUGCCGCGUGUGUGAAGAAGGUCUUCGGAUUGUAAAGCACUUUAAGUUGGGAGGAAGGGCAUUAACCUAAUACGUUAGUGUUUUGACGUUACCGACAGAAUAAGCACCGGCUAACUCUGUGCCAGCAGCCGCGGUAAUACAGAGGGUGCAAGCGUUAAUCGGAAUUACUGGGCGUAAAGCGCGCGUAGGUGGUUUGUUAAGUUGGAUGUGAAAUCCCCGGGCUCAACCUGGGAACUGCAUUCAAAACUGACUGACUAGAGUAUGGUAGAGGGUGGUGGAAUUUCCUGGGUAGCGGUGAAAUGCGUAGAUAUAGGAAGGAACACCAGUGGCGAAGGCGACCACCUGGACUAAUACUGACACUGAGGUGCGAAAGCGUGGGGAGCAAACA
rnacentral:rRNA from 1 species